GAAAGUAAAAGUCGUAACAAGGUCCCCGUUGGUGAACCAGCGGAGGGAUCAUUACAGGAUCGAAAGACUCCUAUAACCCCUGUGAACUUACUACAAAUACGUUGCUUCGGCGGGUGCCCCGGGUCUCCCGGGGCGUUCAGCCCGCCGGCAGCCUUCAAAUUCUGUUUCUUUGCGUUGGCAUCUCGAGUAUACAAAAAUAAGUUAAAACUUUCAACAACGGAUCUCUUGGUUCUG
rnacentral:misc_RNA from 1 species